GACGAACGCUGGCGGCGUGCCUAAUACAUGCAAGUUGAGCGCGGGAAGCUUGCGGAGUCCUUCGGGAGGAAGUGAGCGGACCGAGCGGCGGACGGGUGAGUAACACGUGGGCAACCUGCCCGUAAGACGGGGAUAACCCCGGGAAACCGGGGCUAAUACCGGAUAGGUGACCUUUCUGCAUGGAGGGGUCAUGAAAGGCGGCGGAAGCCGUCGCUUACGGAGGGGCCCGCGGCGCAUUAGCUAGUUGGUGAGGGAAGGGCUCACCGCUGCGACUAUGCGUAGCCGGCCUGAGAGGGUGAACGGCCACCCUGGGACUGAGACACGGCCCAGACUCCUACGGGAGGCAGCAGUAGGGAAUCUUCCGCAAUGGACGGAAGUCUGACGGAGCAACGCCGCGUGAGUGAGGAAGGCCUUCGGGUCGUAAAGCUCUGUUGUUCGUGAAGAAGGGGUUGGCCAGGAAAUGGGCCGACAUUGACGGUAGCGAACCAGAAAGCCCCGGCUAACUACGUGCCAGCAGCCGCGGUAACACGUAGGGGGCAAGCGUUGUCCGGAAUGAUUGGGCGUAAAGGGCGCGCAGGCGGCCUCUUAAGUCUGAUGUGAAAGCCCACGGCUCAACCGUGGAGGGACAUUGGAAACUGGGGGGCUUGAGUGCAGGAGAGGGGAGUGGAAUUCCACGUGUGGCGGUGAAAUGCGCAGAGAUGUGGAGGAACACCAGUGGCGAAGGCGGCUCUCUGGCCUGUGACUGACGCUGAGGCGCGAAAGCGUGGGGAGCGAACAGGAUUAGAUACCCUGGUAGUCCACGCCGUAAACGAU
rnacentral:rRNA from 1 species